CUACGGGUUGCUGCAGUGGGGAAUAUUGCACAAUGGGGGAAACCCUGAUGUAGCCAUGCCGCGUGUGUGAAGAAGGCCUUCGGGUUGUAAAGCACUUUCAGUAGGGAGGAAGGUAGUGUAGUUAACACCUGCAUUAUUUGACGUUACCUACAGAAGAAGCACCGGCUAACUCCGUGCCAGCAGCCGCGGUAAUACGGAGGGUGCGAGCGUUAAUCGGAAUUACUGGGCGUAAAGCGCAUGCAGGCGGCCUGUUAAGUCAGAUGUGAAAGCCCGGGGCUUAACCUCGGAAUUGCAUUUGAAACUGGCAGGCUAGAGUCUUGUAGAGGGGGGUAGAAUUUCAGGUGUAGCGGUGAAAUGCGUAGAGAUCUGAAGGAAUACCAGUGGCGAAGGCGGCCCCCUGGACAAAGACUGACGCUCAGAUGCGAAAGCGUGGGGAGCAAACAGGAUUAGAUACCCGCGUAGUC
rnacentral:rRNA from 1 species